AAUUUAAAUAGUGUAACUUAAACACUUAACUUUUUCGCUGUUAAAAUUCUUUUUAGAUUUAAAUUA
rnacentral:tRNA from 1 species